GAUGAACGCUAGCGGCAGGCUUAAUACAUGCAAGUCGAGGGGCAGCGGGUGUAGCAAUACAUGCCGGCGACCGGCGCACGGGUGCGUAACGCGUAUGUAACCUACCUUUAACUGGAGGAUAGCCCCGAGAAAUCGGGAUUAAUACUCCAUAAAAUUAUGAGAAGGCAUCUUUUUAUAAUUAAAGCUCCGGCGGUUUUAGAUGGGCAUGCGUGACAUUAGCUAGUUGGUGAGGUAACGGCUCACCAAGGCUCCGAUGUCUAGGGGUUCUGAGAGGAUUAACCCCCACACUGGUACUGAGACACGGACCAGACUCCUACGGGAGGCAGCAGUAAGGAAUAUUGGGCAAUGGACGCAAGUCUGACCCAGCCAUGCCGCGUGAAGGAUGACGGCCCUAUGGGUUGUAAACUUCUUUGUACGGAAAAAACCUUCGAACGUGUUCGAAGCUGAUGGUACCGUAAGAAUAAGCAUCGGCUAACUCCGUG
rnacentral:rRNA from 1 species